UACAGAGGUGCCAAGCGUUAGGCGGAAUCACUGGGCUUAGAGCGCGUGUAGGUGGACGGGUAAGUAUCUUGUGAAAUCCCACGGCUCAACCGUGGAACUGCUGGAUAUACUGCUUGUCUUGAGGCACUUAGGGGCAGCUGGAACAAAUGGUGGAGCGGUGAAAUGCGUAGAUAUCAUGUGGAACGCCAAAGGCGAAAGCAGGCUGCUGGGAGAGAUCUGACGCUGAGACGCGAAAGCGAGGGGAGCAAACGGG
rnacentral:rRNA from 1 species